AUUGAACGCUGGCGGCAUGCCUUACACAUGCAAGUCGAACGGCAGCACGGGUGCUUGCACCUGGUGGCGAGUGGCGCACGGGUGAGUAAUACAUCGGAACAUGUCCUGUAGUGGGGGAUAGCCCGGCGAAAGCCGGAUUAAUACCGCAUACGAUCUACGGAUGAAAGCGGGGGACCUUCGGGCCUCGCGCUAUAGGGUUGGCCGAUGGCUGAUUAGCUAGUUGGUGGGGUAAAGGCCUACCAAGGCGACGAUCAGUAGCUGGUCUGAGAGGACGACCAGCCACACUGGGACUGAGACACGGCCCAGACUCCUACGGGAGGCAGCAGUGGGGAAUUUUGGACAAUGGGCGAAAGCCUGAUCCAGCAAUGCCGCGUGUGUGAAGAAGGCCUUCGGGUUGUAAAGCACUUUUGUCCGGAAAGAAAUCCUUGGCCCUAAUACGGUCGGGGGAUGACGGUACCGGAAGAAUAAGCACCGGCUAACUACGUG
rnacentral:rRNA from 1 species